rnacentral:tRNA from 1 species
AGCAGAGUGGUGCAGUGGAAGCGUGCUGGGCCCAUAGGGGUCCGUGGAUCGAAACCACGCUCUGCUA